UGGGGAAUUUUGGACAAUGGGGGAAACCCUGAUCCAGCCAUCCCGCGUGUGCGAUGAAGGCCUUCGGGUUGUAAAGCACUUUUGGCAGGAAAGAAACGUCAUGGGUUAAUACCCCGUGAAACUGACGGUACCUGCAGAAUAAGCACCGGCUAACUACGUGCCAGCAGCCGCGGUAAUACGUAGGGUGCAAGCGUUAAUCGGAAUUACUGGGCGUAAAGCGUGCGCAGGCGGUUCGGAAAGAAAGAUGUGAAAUCCCAGAGCUCAACUUUGGAACUGCAUUUUUAACUACCGGGCUAGAGUGUGUCAGAGAGAGGUGGAAUUCCGCAUGUAGCAGUGAAAUGCGUAGAUAUGCGGAGGAACACCGAUGGCGAAGGCAGCCUCCUGGGAUAACACUGACGCUCAUGCACGAAAGCGUGGGGAGCAAACAGG
rnacentral:rRNA from 1 species